AAUAUUGCGCAAUGGAGGGAACUCUGACGCAGCGACGCCGCGUGAGCGAUGAAGGNCCNNGGAUCNUNAAGCUCUGUCCUUGGNNNNNAAGGUCUUCGGCCUUGACGGUACCUAAGGAGGAAGCCCCGGCUAACUACGUGCCAGCAGCCGCGGUAAUACGUAGGGGGGAAGCGUUAUCCGGAAUUAUUGGGCGUAAAGCGCCCGCGGGCGGUUUCUUAAGUCUGAUGUGAAAGCCCACGGCUCAACCGUGGAGGGUCAUUGGAAACUGGGAAGCUUGAGUGCAGAAGAGGAGAGUGGAAUUCCAUGUGUAGCGGUGAAAUGCGUAGAGAUAUGGAGGAACACCAGUGGCGAAGGCGACUCUCUGGUCUGCAGCUGACGCUGAGGCGCGAAAGCGUGGGGAGCGAACA
rnacentral:rRNA from 1 species